UAGAGAACCUCGGUUAUGUAAUUAUUACCCCGGUAUGUCUGUUUUUCGAGAAGGCGAUUCCGACGCGAUUCGUUUUACCGAACUGCAAGUCAUUAUUUUUUUUCCCGCAUUCACAAUUGACCAUUAUGACGGAAGCCUGGAGGCUCUUCUAGGUUAGUGCAGUGUUCCUUCAUCCUGAUCCUGGGGAAUCAAAGGGGGCGGGGAGGAAGAGAGCCAGUGUGAAGCAGCAGAGUCUCAGCAGCAACCUCUUCAUCCUGGAAAGAGCGGACCAAUCAGGACAGCCAUAUUUCAGUCCCGCCCCUCAGGUCCAGGAAGUAUGUCAGGAGGUGGAUGAGUUCAUCUAUGUGGCCAAUGCAGAGACGGGAAGAGGUAACACCAAGACUCCAACACAUUCCUCAUACUUGCUCCUAUUCCUAGGCCCUUGUUGCCAGCCAGAUAAUCUUGUCAAGCUAUCGCAACAUCAGGCUGGUUCCACCAGGCUACCUUCCAGGACCAGAUCCAGGGAAAGAUCAGGCUCGUUCCACCAGGCUACCUUCCAGGACCAAAUCCAGUGAAAGGUGGUGAGGGGGACAGAUCCAGGCAUUGGUGGACCCUGCCUAGUGUUCAUCCUCCAGAACCCUCCUUGUCCUGACUUUUGUGUCCAGAGAGGAACCAGACUCAAUCAGAACCACUAGUCCCAGUACUGCUAGAUUAAAGACCAGGACCCCCAGUGUGGAUAUUGCACAGAGGCUCUGCCUGUGCCUGCUGCCCAACCCCUGGAUUGUCUGUCUGUCUGUGUAGUGUCUGUCUGUCUGUGUAGUGUCUGUCUGUUUAUGUAGUUUAUGUAGUGUCUGUCUGUCUGUGUAGUUUAUGUAGUGUCUGUCUGUGUAGUGUCUGUCUGUGUAGUGUCUGUCUGUCUAUGUAGUGUCUGUCUGUCUGUCUAUGUAGUAUCUGUCUGUGUAGUGUCUGUCUGUCCUGUCUGUCUAUGGUCUAUGUAGUCUGUCUGUCUGCUAGGGUGCUCUGGUCUCAGGCUGUAGCUAUCUGUCUAAGGAACUACCUUCAGCACAAAUGCUUCUGAAGGAAUGUUCUACCUCUGAUGUGCCUUGUUUAAAUGAAUCGCAAAAUAAAAAGUCAUUAUUGGGUAAAUAUUAUUUAAUAACCCUGUAGUAAUUUUUUUGUGAAUAAGUAGUGGGUUGUGAAACAAAACAGAAGUGAAGAGAACUACUGUUUAACUGUAGCUACGGUACUUUAGUGAAGAUAAUGAAGGGUUUUGGUUAUCACAUUAUUUU
ensembl:lncRNA